GCAGGUGUUUUGCUCCCGCAUGUGGGCCGAAGCGCUGCGGCCUCAGCCGGGCCGCGAUCCUGUCAAUUUGGUGUGGGCCCAGGGGGGCGUGGGGAAAGAGCUCUGAGCUCCCCGAGGCGGGUGGAGGGCCGAGGGUAGGACGGAGGUGAGCUGGGACAGGCUCGGCCGCGCUGAGGUAAAAUGGCUGCCCUGAGGGCACAAGGAGCCGAGUCCAGGCCUGGGUCCGCUGCUCAGCCAUGCGAGCAUCCUGCUUGCAUAUCUUCUUCAGCAGAGCAUUAAAGUUAAGGUUUAGGGCUGUCGGUCUUUUGUUUUUUCCCCAACACUGUGCUCUCCCAUUUCCAGACACUAUAUUGUCAUUCCUAGGGGCUCUUGCAUCAGACUAAUCUCACAGCCUGCUGUGGCAGGGCAUUCAAAUCUGUUUCACAGGCUGAGCACGAUGACUUUGGCCAGAGCAAACUGUAACAAUGUACUUUACUUUGAGUUUAUGUAAGUUAAUACAAAUGAAGGACAAAAAAAGCACUUGGGGCUGAGGCGAAGUUGUAUCUGGAGUGGAUGCAUUUAUGAAAACAUUGUCUCCUGUGGGCUAUGUGCUCCCUCAGAAGUGUGUGCUAAGUGGUGCGUCUUUAGAGGUUUAAUGUAGAGAUCCAUGAGAAAUGUAUGCAAAAAUAGGGCAGAAAAGGAUUUUCUGGGGAAGAAGCAAGGCGAUAACGUACAACUAUGUUUAUGAGGUUGUAAGUCACUUUAAAACACCAGUGUCAGUCUAGUUUGUCACAAAAGCCCUGAAAGGUAUGAAGGCAGUAAAGGCAGUGUGAGACAGACAGACCGCAGCAGCGCGCCCCAGCAGCUCCUCCCUGGCGUGUCCCACCUUGGGACCUGACCAAAGCUUGUUCCUCUGCUUGUGUGCACUGCUCCAAGAUCAGGUCACAAAUUGCUUUUGCAGUGAGAAUUUUUGGUAUCCACAAGAUAUAACAGAUGUGGGAGGGAUACUUCUAAAAAUGUUUGAAAUAAUUGUACUUCUGCAAUGUGGAUGUCUCUCGUUUAUCGCUUAGUAUCUUUCCUAUCUGCACACGUGAGCCCACGUGGUGCCGGAAGGGUUGAGUCACUGUAACCACCAUGAUGGGGUUAAAGUAGUAUCUGAGCUUGUAGAAAAACCCUUUAGCCUCCUAAGUUAAUUAAGGGAUUUUGAAAAAUGUGUCAUGCCUCUUUAGGAGAGUCUGUCAUGCGUACUUCAUUUUUCAUGUAUUAAUUAAAAAUGUAUAUUCCUCUAGAAAAACAGCAAUUCCUGAUGACUUACAGUUAGAAAAAUAUUUUUGGUCUAACGUCAUAAUGUGCUUGACUGUUACAAAUGCCUUUCAUUUUUCUCUCGUAUAGGUUAAAGUACAGCAAUGUGCUCUGCUCUAGUGAUUUCUAACAUUGGUAAUAUCUAUGCUAGAUUGCUAGUGGUUUAAAUAAAGACUGCUAUUAAUCACUGAAAGAUGUUAUGAGAAAGCACAUCUUCAGAAGUGGUGGUUUACAAAGUAUAGAUGACCAGCUAUCUAGGGAUUUUCUACAUUGUUAAAAGAGUAUUGUGGUUUCACAACUCUGUAGCAGAAUACACACUGGCAAGACGGUGACUGCGGAGCUCCUGAGGUUGGAGCACUGAGCUGCAGGACUUCAGUGGGAACUUUAGGAUAAAUAAAUUUUUUGAAGCAGCGAGUUUAACAAGCUAAUUCAAUUCUUUGCCCACUCAGUAGAAAUACUUGUUGCAUAUUUAAAAAAAGAACAAUUUCCCUUCCUCACAAAAAAGCAAAUCUCAAAGACCACGAAUAUGCUUCUUCCCAGGUUCAGGGAAGGUUCCAGCCCUUGCCAAAAAAUGAAUCUUUGUUUCCAAAAGCUUAUUAAACUGCUGGAAGUUAUUCUUAAAGGCAUAACAAAAAAGUGCUCUGUGUUAUCAGCGGAACCCUUAAAACAGUCGGGUAAGCUGCACAACAUUCAUUUUCUUUGUUGGAGUCGCUUUUGGCUUUCUGGUAAAAUGUGUGUGGAGAAUCAUUAAAUAAUUAUGUGGAAAAUAAAUUACUGGGAAGGAAAAGGCAAAUAAUCUUGCUGAAAAAAAAAGAAGCCAACUACUGUAAAACAACAAGCUUUUGUUCUCAAAAGAAGAGUGAUGAAAAACAGGGGUUUCCAACUGAGAAUAUUGAUGGAUAAUGCAAAUAGAACCGUGCCACCCAGUACACGAAGUGUCAAGGCAGGUGGGGAUGUGCUGGGCAGCACUUUGUUACGGCUGCUCCUCACUCUGCUUUAGGCCUGCUCAUGCACAGAAAGAAAACUAGCCGCUUUGUUUGGCCCUCCCUGGCAUUUCCGCAGCCUUCACUCCCAGGCCUCUUCCCCGGGUUAAAAUGCACUCCCACUCACUGCAAAUACCCGUCCCGGUGCCCGGGGCGGGGGGGGGUGGGGGCUUUUUCUGCAAAGAUACUGAAAUGCUUUACAAUGGGCUCACCGCUCGCUUUUGUUUAGGAUGAAACAGAAGCGCUGGGAGGUUUCCCAGGAUGAGCUGGUAGGGCUGGGGGCAGCGCCGGGGUGCAGCCCACCUCUGAGCAGGUUGGCCGUGGCUGUGGUUCUGCGUGCUGGCUGCCAUCGCUCUUGCUGCUCCUCUGGCUCUGUUCGCAGAACCUGUUUUUCCUAAUCUGAAGUACGUAGGAUCCAGCUGGGAUUAGUUUUGACUAAUCUUACUUUGUUGCAAAAUAACAGUUCAUCAAAGCUCAGAUUGUUUAGAAGAAAAAGAAUGGUUUUUAAAGCCACCUCUUAAGUUGUAACUGUUUCUUCGGAGAACUAAGCUUUGAAUUGUCCAAACUUGCCGUUUCCCUCCCGUAACAGCCCUGGAUAUGCUGCAUGAGUGGUUUCAUCUGGCAUUUCACAGCAGCGCAGAACCACACGGGUAGGGUCUUUGGAAUAUAAAUUUGAAACAUAAAGCUGGUAUUUUGGGGGCCUUCAGUUUUAAGUAGUGCCUCCAUGUUACCAACGCUAUUAAUUUUCAUGCAGAAAAAAGAUGCAAAAAUACAGCCUGCGAUUUUUUUGGAGAAACUCUGAGUGCAUUGGUAAGACGAGGAAAGUGUGUGUAAGUUUGAAAGUAUUUCCCACAAAGGUGGAUGGUGGCAGAGCUCGUUCUGUUUGCAUAGAUUUAUUUGCAAGCCAGAAGGUUUUCACGUGUGCAUGCUGUAGCAUGUCUCGAUGCAAACGAAAACCACAACACACUUAGGUGAAUUUCUCAGGAAAGCCAGCCUGAAAGGGAACACACAGGCAGAGAUUUAAAGAAAAGCCACGCGGAAGAGCAGGCUGCAGCGACUGGCCUUUUCCAUAGGUAACACCACUGGAAUUCAAAGCACUCCUGGAAGGCAUUGUGAAAAUGCUCAUUUUUAGAAAUGAAACAUCAAUCUUUUUUCUUCAUUAGAGCAGCUACACCAUUACAGCUGUUAAGCACGACGUGUUUGGCAGGGCUGUGCUCAUGAGGCCCCAGAGCAGACAGCUGGGGUCUUCACGGGACCCUACAGCCGCAGCUGCGCAGGACCACCAGCCACCUCCUCACCCUGGGCUGGUCUCCAGCAGCAUGCCAGGCCAGCUGGAGGGGCGCAAGUAAUCUAUUUAAAUUGCAUGUGGUUGUUUGUCUUGAUAGUAGCUGUUAAAGGUUAAUUUAAAAAAAAUUUAAAAAUCA